UACGGAGGGGGCAAGCGUUAUUCGGAAUUAUUGGGCGUAAAGGGCGCGUAGGCGGCCUGGCAAGUGGAAGGUGAAAUCCCUCGGCUUAACCGAGGAACUGCCCUCCAAACUGCUUGGCUUGAGUCCGGGAGAGGUGAGUGGAAUUCCCAGUGUAGCGGUGAAAUGCGUAGAUAUUGGGAGGAACACCAGUGGCGAAGGCGGCUCACUGGACCGGAACUGACGCUGAGGCGCGAAGGCGUGGGGAGCAAACGGG
rnacentral:rRNA from 1 species